rnacentral:rRNA from 1 species
GCUCAGAACGAACGCUGGCGGCGUGCCUAACACAUGCAAGUCGAACGUGAUUAGAGAGCUUGCUCUCUAUGAAAGUGGCGCACGGGUGAGUAACGCGUAGAUAAUCUGCCUGAUGAUCGGGGAUAACACUUCGAAAGGGGUGCUAAUACCGGAUAAGCUCACGGAGUCCUUGGACUCUGCGAGAAAAGGGGGGGACCUUCGGGCCUUCUGUCAUCAGAUGAGUCUGCGUACCAUUAGCUAGUUGGUAGGGUAAAGGCCUACCAAGGCGACGAUGGUUAGCUGGUCUGAGAGGAUGAUCAGCCACACUGGAACUGAGACACGGUCCAGACUCCUACGGGAGGCAGCAGUGGGGAAUUUUGCGCAAUGGGGGAAACCCUGACGCAGCAACGCCGCGUGAGUGAUGAAGGCUCUUGGGUCGUAAAGCUCUGACAGAGGGAAAGAAAUGUAUUGCGGCUAAUACCUGCGAUACUUGAUGGUACCCUCAAAGGAAGCACCGGCUAACUCCGUGCCAGCAGCCGCGGUAAUACGGGGGGUGCAAGCGUUGUUCGGAUUUAUUGGGCGUAAAGCGCGUGUAGGCGGUUUGGUAAGUCUGAUGUGAAAGCCCUGGGCUCAACCCGGGAAGUGCAUUGGAUACUGUCAGACUUGAAUACGGGAGAGGGCAGUGGAAUUCCUAGUGUAGGAGUGAAAUCCGUAGAUAUUAGGAGGAACACCGGUGGCGAAGGCGGCUGCCUGGACCGAUAUUGACGCUGAGACGCGAAAGCGUGGGUAGCAAACAGGAUUAGAUACCCUGGUAGUCCACGCCGUAAACGAUGAGAACUAGGUGUUGCGGGUAUUGACCCCUGCAGUGCCGUAGCUAACGCAUUAAGUUCUCCGCCUGGGAAGUACGGGUCGCAGACUAAAACU